AGGACGAACGCUGGCGGCGUGCUUAACACAUGCAAGUCGAGCGAGAGCCAGUCGAGGGGUAACCCUCGGCUGGGGACAGCGGCGAACGGGUGCGUAACACGUGGGCAACCUGCCCCUGACACUGGGAUAACCCCGGGAAACCGGAGCUAAUACCGGAUACUCUCGGCCGAUCACAUGGCUGGCCGAGGAAAGGUCCGCCGGUCAGGGAUGGGCCUGCGGCCUAUCAGCUUGUGGUGAGGUAACGGCCCACCAAGGCGACGACGGGUAGCUGGUCUGAGAGGACGACCAGCCACACUGGAACUGAGAUACGGUCCAGACUCCUACGGGAGCAGCAGUGGGGGAAUA
rnacentral:rRNA from 1 species